GUGGAAUUGAGUGUGGAUGCAUGUGUGAAGAAACUGAAUUUGGCUAUUGAACAGUUAUACAUGAAUAUAUCUUAUUACGACUUUGAGUGGGGUCAAGUGAACACCUUUUCUAUGUUUGGUGUUGUUCGACUGAGAUUCACUAUAGACUACCUGGAACUUUCAAACGUCUUCAUUACGUCACUUAACAUAUCAGUAUGCCUAGAAGCAGACUCAAAGUGUG